UUAAAUUAUUUUCUCUAAUCUACCUGCCAUGUUUAUCGCCAAACCGCUCUAUUCGCGAAAGAAUAGCAGAUCCGUUUUUGUUUUCUAUAAGCUCGUCAUUAAUUACGUGAUCUACAAUUAGAAUUAUUUAAAUAUCUGCUUUAUUUUAAUCGGCUUAAACAACCGACAGGCAAUUCGGCGCCGACGCCGGUCAUGAGCCGUCCAUACUCGCCAUUUUGUCAUUUUGCAAACUAAGAAAAUGCAAACAAAACAUUAUUUGCCCUAAACACGCGUUACUUUUAAAUAAUUUUGUCGACAAAGUGAGCCUGUUUUAUCAAAUUGAACUCCGAACUGCAAUUGCAAUGUAAUUUUCCGAUAACGAAAGUGAGGUUACGAAAUUGACAUGACAUUAUUUUAUGUACAAUAUGAACGUUCGUGUUGGGAAAAAAAAACGUGAAUGCAAUGGACAUGUGUUUAGUUGUGUUUCUCAUCAAGAUAAUAGAAGAAUCUAGUGCUCAUACUCAUGAUCUAAUGAGCAAACAGCCCAUGUAUAGGAUGUCUUAUCGGGCUAUGUCUCUACUAAUAAAGUGAACAAUUGCCUUCUCCAAAAGCAGCUUUGCAAAAAAAGUUUCAACAUCUAAUUGGAAUUUCUCUGGAAAGUUUACAAUGCCCGAUAUUUCUACACAUCUGCCACAAAUUUAUGGAAAUCAAUAUUUAUAGAAACUGAACAUACCUUGGUUAAACGUAUAUGAAAUGGGUUAUCAUCAUUGAAGAACAUCAACCAGCUGUCGGCAACAUGCAGGUUGACCGAGGAAUUUGUCGGUGUGUCCUUUAUGGACUGUACUCCGUCUUUGCACUAUCGUCAAUUUUACUCGGGAGUCACCGCUUCAGCCCGGUCCUUCUUUCAUAUAUCUACUGUCUUCAUAUAGAUGAAAGUGUACUAAAGGCUCACUGAUCUACACUACCAGCUCAUGCUCAAUGUUACUGAACAACAAAGUAAUCCGACAAUCAGACUGGACCCGGUCAUGUUAGGUACCAAAGGAAAACGAAAAUAUCAUUGGUUCUGUACUGAUGCAUGACUUCGCUCGGAACGCGGCAAGAAUGAACAAUGGAAGAAAAUACUACAGACUUGUUUAUUAACGAUAAAGUUAUUUUAGUUUUUAUGAAAUAGCGAUUGAAUAAAAAUAUUA